rnacentral:rRNA from 1 species
UACGUAGGGAGCAAGCGUUGUCCGGAAUCAUUGGGCGUAAAGCGCGCGUAGGCGGCCUCAUAAGUCCGUUGUGAAAGUCAAAGGCUCAACCUUUGAAAGCCGAUGGAUACUGUGAGGCUAGAGUUCGGAAGAGGCGAGUGGAACUGCGAGUGUAGAGGUGAAAUUCGUAGAUAUUCGCAAGAACACCAGUGGCGAAGGCGGCUCACUGGCCCGGUACUGACGCUGAGGUGCGAAAGCGUGGGGAGCAAACAGG